rnacentral:rRNA from 1 species
UUUUUAGGGGAAGGUGUGGUGUAAAGGAUGUUCUCGCUAUUAAUUUACUUUUAUUAUGUUGGUGUAUAUCUGGUUUAAUAUUAUUGUUGAAUAAUAUUAGUUUGUGUAAUUUUAUUAGUUAAGCCAAGUCUAUGUGCUGCUUAUAGAAGUAUUCAUGCGUUACUUUAAUAAAGUUUUAGUUGUAAGUACUAUCAUAUUCAGGACUUAAAAGUAAUGUUAAAUUAGUUUGUUAAUGUGAAAUAAGUUUAGCUCAUGUA